rnacentral:rRNA from 1 species
GUGGGGAAUCUUGCGCAAUGGGCGAAAGCCUGACGCAGCCAUGCCGCGUGAAUGAUGAAGGUCUUAGGAUUGUAAAAUUCUUUCACCGGGGACGAUAAUGACGGUACCCGGAGAAGAAGCUCCGGCUAACUUCGUGCCAGCAGCCGCGGUAAUACGAAGGGGGCUAGCGUUGCUCGGAAUUACUGGGCGUAAAGGGCGCGUAGGCGGACAGCUUAGUCAGAGGUGAAAGCCCAGGGCUCAACCUUGGAAUUGCCUUUGAUACUGGCUGUCUUGAGUUUGUGAGAGGUGAGUGGAACUCCGAGUGUAGAGGUGAAAUUCGUAGAUAUUCGGAAGAACACCAGUGGCGAAGGCGACUCACUGGCCCAAUACUGACGCUGAGGCGCGAAAGCGUGGGGAGCAAACAGGAUUAGAAACCCCGGUAGUCC